UACGUAGGGGCCGAGCGUUGUCCGGAGUUACUGGGCGUAAAGCGCGCGCAGGCGGUCGUCUAAGCCUACCGUGAAAGCCCCCGGCUCAACCGGGGAGGGUCGGUGGGGACUGGGCGACUUGAGGACGGCAGGGGCUGGUGGAAUCCCCGGUGUAGUGGUGAAAUGCGUAGAGAUCGGGGGGAACACCCGUGGCGAAGGCGGCCAGCUGGGCCGGACCUGACGCUGAGGCGCGAAGGCGUGGGGAGCGAACAGG
rnacentral:rRNA from 1 species